GAAUUCUUGAAUUUGAAAACAAUUGGGGUUCCUAAACAGAGAAUAUGGAAUAUUAUUGGGGAUGAUGUCUUUAAUAAUACAUUUCAAGAUAGGAGAAACUUUUUCUAUAUAGUUGACUUUAAUAAAAGCCUAGGGCAAAACUUUCAAUAUAUUAACAGUAUUUAUGAGGCAGUUAAGAAUUUGGGUCAUCUCCGUCUCCACUAAAAAUACAAAAAGUUAGCCAGGUGUGGUGGCGGGCGCCUGUAGUCCCUGCUACUUGGGAGGCUGAGGCAGGAGAAUGGUGUGAACCCGGGAGGUGGAGGUUGCAGUGAGCCGAGAUCAUGCCACUGCACUUUAGCCUGGGCAACAGAGAGAGACUGCGUAUCAAAAAAAAAAAAAAAAAAAAAGAACUUGGGUCAUCUCAAUUAAACAUAGAAUUUAAGAUUACAUUGAAAAUUCAGUACAGAGUAUUUUGCCUUCAUCUGUUGUUUGAGUCUCCCUUCUUUCAGCCAUCCUUCCAUCAGAAAUAGAAUACCAAGUUAAACUUCUUAAUUAGAAUCAGGAAUCAGGACUCUUUGGCUGCUGAUUGAAGGAAGAACUGUCCUUAAAUCCAGAGUGGGCCGGGCAUGGUGGCUCAUGCCUGUAAUCCUAGCACUUUGGGAGGCCAAGGCAGAUGGAUCACCUGAGGUCAGGAGUUAAAGAGCAGCAUGACCAACAUGGUGAAACCCCAUCUCUACUGAAAAUACAAAAAUUAGCCGGGUGUGGUGGUGUGUGCCUAUAGUCCCAGAUACUUCGGAGGCUGAGAUAGGAGAAUUGCUUGAACCUGGGAGGUGGAGGUUAUGUGAGCCAAGAUCACACCACUGCACUCUAGCCUGGGCAACAGGGCGAGACUCCAUCUCAAAAAAAAAAAAAAAAAAAAUCCAGAGUGGUUGGUAGUCAAGACAAAAAGCUAGAUUAUUUUUGUUAGUCUGGGAACUAAAAAAAAUAGUUGUAACUUUGAAGCCUUUUUAUGAAUCAACAUGAAGAUUGAGGGAUCUCAAACAGAAAGGGCAUCCUGGUGGCAAAGGUUAAUCAUUACCAGACUGCAAGAGUAGUUUCAAUGGCAAGAAAGCAGCAACAGAAUCAAUGAAAACAAAGCAAUGAUUAGAAUGCCCUUUCCCCUUCUCCUCCUGACUUGUAGACACUGAUUGUCUUCCUUGGACUUAGGGAACCCCUUAGGUUCUUGAAAAAUUCAAUGAUGAGGCUAUAGUAGAUGGUCCCCAGGACACAGCACAAGAUUUUUUGAUAAACUGGACAUUUUGAGACCCAAAUAACUAAUUAGAAAAAUCAAACAUGUGAAACUACUUUAUCCUAUGCAUAGGGGUUAUACUGGAAAUAAAAUGUACAACAUUGGAAUCCUGAAGGAGAAAAGUCCUAAAAGUUUCAAUAUCAAGAAUCCUGCACCUGCUGCUACUUAUCUAGCCUUUUGCUUGAUUUCUGGCUGAUGAACUUGCACAACUCUUGAAAAGUUAAAAACUUGAAAAUUUGUGACUUGAAAACUACUUGAACCAAACUAUGAAAUCUCACCUGAUAUAUAAGAUGCAAUUGUUACAAUUAUUUUAAACUUCAAUUUACUGUUUUGCUCUAUCAAAAGAAAGUUUCAACUCUGCUAGUUGAGUACACACAUCCUAAACAAGUUUCUGAGAAUGCUUCUGUCUAGUUUUUAUGGGAAGAUAUUUCCUUUUUCACCUUAGGCCUCAAUGCGCUCCAAAUGUGCACUUCCAGAUACUACAAAAACAGUGUUUCAAACCUGCUCUAUGAAAGGGAAUGUUCAACUCUGUGACUUGAAUGCAAACAUCACAGAGAUGUUUCUGAGAAUGCUUCUGUCUAGAUUUUAUAGGAAGAUAUUCCCGUUUCCAACGAAAUCCUCAAAGCUAUCCAAAUAUCCACUUGCAGAUUCUACAAAAAGAGUGUUUCAAAACUGCUCUAUCAAAAGAAAGGUUCAACUCUGUCAGUUGAGUACACACAUCACAAACAAGUUUAUGAGAAUGUUUCUGUCUAGUUUUUAUGGGAAGAUAUUUCCUUUUUCACGAUAGGCCACAAAGCGCUCCAAAUGUCCAGUUGCAGAUACUACAAAAUCAGUGUUUCAAACCUGCUCUAUGAAAGGGAAUGUUCCACUCUGUGACUUGAAUGCAAAGAUCACAAAGAAGUUUCUGAUAAUGCUUCUGUGUAGAUUUUAUAUGAAGAUAUUCCUGUUUCCAACGAAACUCUCCAAGCUAUCCAAAUAUUCACUUGCAGAUUCCACAAAGAGAGUGUUUCAAAACUGCUCUUUCAAAUGAAAGGUUCAACUCUGUUAGUUGAGUACACACAUCACAAACUGGUUUAUGAGGAUGCUUCUGUCUAGUGUUUAUGGGAAGAUAUUUCCUUUUUCACCAUAGGCCUCAAACCUCUCCAAAUGUGCCCUUCCAGAUACUACAAAAAGAGUGUGUCAAACCUGCUCUAUGAAAGGGAAUAUUCAACUCUGUGACUUGAAUGCAAACAUCACAGACAUGUUUCUGAGAAUGCUUCUGUCUAGAUUUUAUAGGAAGAUAUUCCUGUUUCCAGGAAAUCCUCAAAGCUAUCCAAAUAUCCACUUGCAGAUUCUACAAAAAGAGUGUUUCAAAACUGCUCUAUCAUAAGAAAGGUUCAACUCUGUUAUUUGAGUACACACAUCACAAACUAGUUUCUGAGAAUGCUUCUGUCUAGUUUUUAUGGGAAGAUAUUUCCUUUUUCACCAUAGGCCUCAAAGCGAUCCAAAUGUCCUCUUCCAGAUACUACAAAAAGUGUUUCAAACCUGCUCUGUGGAAGGGAAUGUUCAAUUCUGUGACUUGAACGCAUACAUCCCAAAGAUGUUUCUGAGAAUGCUUCUGUCUAGAUUUUAUAUGAAGAUACUCCCGUUUCCAACGAAAUCCUCAAAGCUAUCCAAAUAUCGACUUGCAGAUUCUACAAAAAGAGUGUUUCAAAACUGCUCUAUGAAAAGAAAGAUUCAACUCUAUUAGUUGAGUACACACAUCACAAACUUGUUCCUGAGAAUGCUUCUGUGUAGUUUUUAUGGGAAGAUGUUUUGUUUUUCACCAUAGGCCACAAAGCGCUCCAAAUGUCCAGUUCCACAUACUACAAAAAGUGUGUUUCAAACCUGCUCUAUGAAAGAUAAUGUUCAACUCUGUGACUUAAAUGCAAAUAUCACAGAGAUGUUUCUGAGUAUACUUCUGUCUAGAUUUUAUAUGAAGAUAUUCCCGUUUCCAACGAAAUCCUCAAAGCUAUCCAAAUAUCCACUUGCAGAUUCUACAAAAAGAGUGUUUCAAAACUGCUGUAUGAAAAGAAAGGUUAAAUUCUGUGAGUUGAGUACACACAUCACAAACAAGUUUAUGAGAAUGCUUCUGUCUAGUUUUUAUGGGAAGAUAUUUGCUUUUUCACCAUAGGCCUCAAAGUGAUCAAAACGUCCACUUCCACAUACUACAAAAAGAGUGUUUCAAACCUGCUCUAUGAACUGGAAUGUUCAACUCUGUGACUUGAAUGCAAACAUCCUAAAGAUGUUUCUGAGAAUGCUUCUGUCUAGAUUUUAUAUGAAGAUAUUCCCGUUUCCAACGAAAUCCUCAAAGCUAUCCAAAUAUGCACUUGCAGAUUCUACAAAAAGAGUGUUUCAAAACUGCUCUAUCAAAACAAAGGUUCAAAUCUGUCAGUUGAGUACACACAUCACAAACUAGUUUCUGGGAGUGCUUCUGUCCACUUUUUAUGGGAAGACAUUUCGUUUUCAAAAGAUAGGUUCAACCAAAAGAUAGGUUCAACUCUGUGAGUUGAAUGCACACAUCACAAAGAAGUUUCUCAGAAUCUUUCUGUGUAGUUUUUAUGUGAACAUAUUUGAUUUUGCACAGCAGGCCUCAAAAUGCUCCAAAUAUCCACCUGCAGAUUCUGCAAAAAGAGGUAUUCAAAACUGCUCAAUCAAAAGAUAGGUUCAACUCUGUGAGUGGAAUGCAUACAUCAGAAAGAAGUUUCUCUGAAUGGUUCUGUGUAGUUCUAUUUGAAGAUAAUUCCUUUUCCACGAUAGGGCACAAAGGGCUCUAAAUAUCCACUUGCAGAAUCUACAAAAACAGAGAUUCAAAACUGCUCAUUGAGAAGAUAAGUUCAACUCAGUGAGUUGACUGUACACAUCACGAAGAAGUUUCUUAGAAUGCUUCUGUGUAGUUUUUAUUGAAGAUAUUUCCUUUUCCACCAUAGGGUGCAAAGGGCUCCAAAUAUCCACUUGCAGAUUAUAGAAAAGAGAGACUCUAAACUGCUCAAUCAAAAGAUAGGUUCAACUCUGUGAGUUGAAUGCCCACAUCACAAAGAAGUUUCUCAGAAUGCUUCUGAGUAGUUUUUAUGUGAAGAUGUUUCCUUUUCCACAAUAGGCGGCAAAGUUCUCCAAAUAUCCACUUGCAGAUUCUACAAAAACGGUGUUUCAAAACUGCGCAAUGAAAAGAAAGAUUCAACUCAGUGAGAUGAAUGCACACAUCACAAAGAAGUUUCUCAGAAUCCUUCUGUGUUGUUUUUAUGUGAAGAUAUUUCCUUUGCACUAUAGGCCUCAAUGGGCUCCAAAUAUCCACUUCCAUAUUCUACAAAAAGAGUGUUUCAAAACUGCUCAAUCAUGAGAUAGAUUCAACCCUGUGAGAUGAAUGCACACGUCACGAAGUAGUUUCUCAGAAUACUUCUGUGUAAUUUUUAUGUGAAGAUAUUUGCUUUUCCCCAGUAGGCCUCAAAGGGCUCCAAAUAUCCACCUGCAGAUUUUGCAAAAAGAGAGAUUCAAAACUGCUCAAUCAAAAGAUAUGUUCAACUCUGUGAGUUGAAUGCAUACAUCACAAAGAAGUUUGUCUGAAUGCUUCUUUGUAGUUUUUAUUUCAAGAUAUUUCCUUUUGCACCACAGGGUUCAAAGGGCUCCAAAUAUCCACUUGCAGAUUCUACAAAAAGAGAGAUUCAAAACUGCUCAAUGAGAAGAUAAGAUCAACUCUGUGAGUUGAAUGCAUACCUCACAAGGAAGUUUCUCAGAAUGCUUCUGUGUAGUUUUUAUGUGAAGAUAUUUCCUUUUCCACAAUAGGCCUCCAAUCUCUCCAAACAUCCACAUACAGGUUCUGCAAAAAGAGAGAUUCAAAACUGCUCAAUCAAAAGAUAGGUUCAACUCUGUGACUUGAAUGCACACAUCGCAAAGAAGUUUCUCAGAAUCUUUCUGUGUAGUUCUUAUGUGAACAUAUUUGAUUUUCCACAGUAAGCCUCAAAAGGCUCCAAAUAUCCACCUGCAGAAUCUGCAAAAAGAGGGAUUCAAAACUGCUCAAUCAAAAGAUAGGAUCAACUCUGUGAGUUGAAUGUAUACAUCACAAAGAAGUUUCUCUGAAUGAUUCUGUGUAGUUUUAUUUGCAGAUAUUUCCUUUUCCACAAUACGGUGAAAGGGCUCCAAACAUCCACUUCCAGAUUCUACAAAACAGAGAUUGAAAACUACUCAAUGAGAAGAUAAGUUCAACUCAUUCAGUUGAAUGCACACAUCACGAAGAAGUUUCUUAGAAUCCUUCUGUGUAGUUUUUAUUGAAGAUAUUUCCUUUUCAACCAUAGGGUGCAAAGGGCUCCAAAUAUCCACUUGCAGAUUCUAGAAAAAGAGUGACUCUAAGUUGCUCAAUCAAAAGAUAGGUUCAACUCUGUGAGUUGAAUGCCCAUAUCACAAAGAAGUUUCUCAGAGUGCUUCUGAGUAGUUUUUAUGUGAAGAUAUUUCCUUUUCCACAAUAGGCCUCAAAGUUCUCCAAAUAUCCACUUGCAGAUUCUACAAAAAGAGUGUUUCAAAACUGCUCAAUCAAAAGAAAGGUUCAACUCUGUGAGAUGAAUGCACACAUCACAAAGAAGUUUCUCAGAAUGCUUCUGUGUAGUUUUUAUGUGAAGCUAUUUCCUUUUCCACCAUAGGCCUCAAAGCUCUCCCAACAUCCACUUGCAGAUUCUGCAAAAAGAGAGAUUCAAAACUGCUAAUUGAAAGACGGGUUGAACUCUGUGAGUUGAAUGCACACAGCCAAAGAAGUUUCUCAGAAUGCUUCUCUGUAGUUUUUAUGUGAACAUAUUUGAUUUUCCACAGUAGGCCUCACAGCACUCCAAAUAUCCACUUGCAGAUUCUACAAAAAGAGAGAUUCAAAACUGUUCAAUCAAAAGAUAGGUUCAACUCUGUGAGUUGAACGCAUACAUCAUGAAGAAGUUUCUGAGAAUGCUUCUGUGUAGUUUUUAUUUGAAGAUAUUUCCUUUUCCACCAUAAGCUGCAGAGGGCUCCAAAUAUCCACUUGCAGAUUCAACAGAAAGAAUGUUUCAAAACUGCUCAAUCAAAAGAAAGUUUCAACUCUGUGAGAUGAAUGCACACAUCACAAAGAAGUUUCUCAGAAUGCUUCUGUGUAGUUCUUAUUUGAAGAUAUUUGGUUUUCCACUGUAGGCCUCAAAGCGCUCCAAAUAUCCACUUGAAGAUCCUACAAAAAGAGUGUUUCAAAACUGCUCAAUCAUAAGCUAGGUUCAACCCUGUGAGAUGAAUGCACACAUCACAAAGCAGUUUCUCUGAGUGAUUCUGUGUAGUUUUUAUUUGAAGAUAUUUCCUUUUCCACCAUAGGGCGCAAAGGGCUCCAAAUAUCCACUUGAAGAUUCUACCAAAAGAUAAAUUCAAAACUGCUCAAUGAGAAGAUAAGUUCAACUCUGUGAGUUGAAUGCACACCUCACAAAGUAGUUUCUCACAAUGCUUCUGCAUAGUUUUUAUGUGAAGAUAUUUGCUUUUCCACUGUAGGCCUCAAAGCGCUCAAAAUAUCCACCUUCAGAUUGUGCAAACAGAGAGAUUCAAAACUGCUCAAUCAAAAGAUAGGUUCAACUCUGUGAGUUGAAUGCACAUAUCAUGAAGAAGUUUCUCUGAAUGCUUCUGUGUAGUUUUUAUUUCAAGAUAUUUCCUUUUCCACCAUAGGGCGCAAAGGUCUUCAAAUAUCCACUUGCAGAUUCUACAAAAAGAGAGAUUGAAAACUCCUCAAAGAGAAGAUAAUUUCAACUCUGUGAGUUGAAUGCACACCUCACAAAGUAGUUUCUCAGAAUGCUUCUGUGUAGUUUUUAUGUGAAGAUAUUUCCUUUUCCACAAUAGGCCUCAAAGCUUUCCAAACAUACACUUGUAGUUUCUGCAAAAAGAGAGAUUCAAAACUGCUCAAUCAAAACGUAGUUUCAACUCUGUGAGUUGAAUGCAAACAUCACAAUGGUGUUUCUCAGAAUGCUUCUGAGUAGUUUUUAUGUGAAGAAAUUUCCUUUUCCACAAUAGGCCUCAAAGGGCUCCAAAUAUCCACUUGCAGAUUCCACGAAGAGAGUGUUUAAAAACUGCUCAAUCAAAAGAAAGUUUCAACUCUGUGAGAUGAAUGAACACAUCACAAAGGAGUUUCUCAGAUUGCUUCCUUCUAGAUUUUAUGUGAAGA
rnacentral:lncRNA from 1 species